rnacentral:rRNA from 1 species
GAUGAACGCUGGCGGCGUGCCUAAUACAUGCAAGUCGAGCCAACAGAUGAGGAGCUUGCUCCUCUGACGUUAGCGGCGGACGGGUGAGUAACACGUGGAUAACCUACCUAUAAGACUGGGAUAACUUCGGGAAACCGGAGCUAAUACCGGAUAAUAUAUUGAACCGCAUGGUUCAAUAGUGAAAGACGGUUUUGCUGUCACUUAUAGAUGGAUCCGCGCCGCAUUAGCUAGUUGGUAAGGUAACGGCUUACCAAGGCAACGAUGCGUAGCCGACCUGAGCGAGUGAUCGGCCACCCUGGAACUGAGACACGGUCCAGACUCCUACGGGAGGCAGCAGUAGGGAAUCUUCCGCAAUGGGCGAAAGCCAGACGGAGCAACGCCGCGUGAGUGAUGAAGGUCUUCGGAUCGUAAAACUCUGUUAUUGGGGAAGAACAAAUGUGUAAGUAACUAUGCACGUCUUGACGGUACCUAAUCAGAAAGCCACGGCUAACUACGUG